rnacentral:tRNA from 1 species
CAGGGCAUAGCUAAGAAAGAAAAGCAUCUCCCUUACACUGAGAAGAGAUUCGUGCAACUCGAAUUGCCCUGA